UUCAUGUAAUGAAAAUGUUUCUGUGUUACAUGUCUCACAUUUCUCAUCUCACUGAAUGUAAAAUGAAUCUGAAACUUUAAAUGAGCACCCAUUUAAAUUUUCCCCCAAAAUACUUUCUGUUGACAAUAGGUUGUAUUGUUUCAAAUGGGAACCUAUAUUGUCUGAAACAAAUCAGAACAAAUGAGGAAGAUAUUAUUCCUAAUUUAAAGGUAUAAGCACAUUUGCUUAUAAGGAGACAUGUUGAUCUGUGUAUUUUUACACAGUGGAUCAGUGAUAUCGGUUAACAACAAAACUUGCUAACCAAUUUUUCAAUACUGAACUUAAGGCCCAGUUCUAAGCAAAACUAUGAAGAAAUAUGUUUACUUGUAGCAUAUCUCUGUGUGUGUGCGUGUGUGUGUGUGUGUGUGUGUGUAUCCCUUUUUUCUUAAAUACCUGCUGUCUCCUGUUGGUCCCUAUUGUCCUGAUACUCAGGAUCGAAGUACUAUAGCAUGCAUCCAUUGAGCUGUGUCUGUUGUGGUUGGGAUUCAUAUGACUGCUCAGUGACUGUGCUACAUGGGUCAUAAAAUAUUUUGAAAACCACCCCUGGUGAAUACUCUCUGAGUCAAGCCCCUCCUUUCAUGGGAAACUUUCCUGCCAGAACUCAGUGCCAGGGUUAUCUUUCAGGGUUAUCUGCUCCACUUUAGUUCUUACAGUCCUGGAGAAUCAUAUAAGGAUCAAGAUCUCUCUUUGCUUUGGUCAACAUAAAUCUCUGAGGUUUCACAAACGGCAGAUCAAGGGUUCUGCAGGAAGACCUGGCAUGCAUAGACACCUCUACAUUAGUGCAGUCAAGGAUCAGGAAACCCCUUUCUAAUUUGGGCAACACACAUAUGAAGAUGAGUCCACUGAGGAAGGAAAAAGUUAGCUUCACUUCACUAAGUUCCCACAUGGAUUAAGCAGCAGACCCCAGACCAAGACCAGAAUGCAAUCCACUCUUUGAUGAGAACAUACUUGGAUAUGACCUAUGCUAUUUUGAAUGAAAUUUAGCAAGGAAGAACUGUCCAUCAAUCAUUUUAACCAAGUUCACCUUUUGUUGCCAUUUAAGUUUUAUUUUGUCCCAGGAAAUUCAUAGUGAGUGAUUGUGAUUACAAUUUCCUCAUUUUCAUGCCUCUGACAUUCUUGUUGAAGAUGCUAAUCUUGUAUAAAGCUGUCUUUGGAGUUGAUGAUGCUGCCACUUCUCACUCCUAUGGGAAAUGGAGAGAUGUGGUGCAUAAAAUAGAAUAAAAUGUAUUAGAGCAAAAUAAAACCGCUAAUAAGAGUAAUCACUGUAAUAGAUUUUAAAAUCAUUUUAAAUUUAGUUCUAAUUACCUAAAUCCAUCUCAGAAUUACUACUGAUGUGAUGAGAAAUUCAUAAAUUCUGUGCAAAUUGAAAACAGAAAUUACAUUAUUAAAAUACUACUUUGCUACUCCAUCUCUAUAUUAUCAUAUAGGUAAAUUUAUGCAUGUAUACAUAAAUUAUACAUUUUUACAUAUAAACUUGAAUUUAUCAGAACUACUCAAUUUCAUCCUGGCUAAUAAUUUAGUAUUAUUAACCUCCAAUAUUCACAUCAAGAUAUAUUCUCCUCUCAAACAUGAUAAAACGAAAGCAUUCUAAGAUUAUACAGAGUGUGUUUUCUAAACAAAAUUUGCUUCUCGUUUUAGAAAGUUGAUGUCAUCAAGGCAUCACCAUCAAAUUUAACUUCUCUAUUUUUCUUUAGAUAAAAAUAGAUAAGAAAGCUUUCUAAGUGUGUCAGUCUAAGAAAAACUUUAAUUAGAAUCUCUGGCUGUUGCUUAGGUUGCCUUCUACAACUUAUUUCAGCUUGACAGUAGGCAGGAGACUUCCCCUUCAAUUUUAGGUCGAAGUCAGAAUAAAAAGUGCUUUAGAAAAAAAAAGAUAACUGUUUUCUGUUCUCCUAAUUCCCUUCUGCCCAUAGAAUGAAUCUAUGCAGGAUAUUUGCAAUAGCAUCUCAAACCCACCUGGCUCUCCCCGUAUUUCUCACUUGAAGACAUCAGAUGGCUGAUUCCACAGGAGCCUGUGGUUGGAUCAGAGUAGAAAACUGCAACCUGAGAAGAUUGAGGGAAACCUUGCAGAGCCCCUGGGGUAGUGGUCAGGUUGGAGGUUUCACAUACUCUAAACGAGGGUCGUCUCUAUUUUGCUGUUCAAAUCUGGUGGGCUUUCUUGCCAAUGAGUUUGCUAUGGGCUCAAAACAUUGUUAUUUUGCCUGAACAAUCUCUGUGGUUAAUGGUUGGUGUUAGAUACUGCAUGAACCUUGGGUUUGAAACUCAAGACAUACUCCUGUGGAUUCUCAAUUUUCCUUUUAGUUAAGAGCAGAAGACCUCCAAUUUAUCCAGACCUGUGGUUGAGCUGUCAAAAUGCCUGGUCUGAAAAUGGAUAGGCUUAUGGCCAGGAACUCGCUGACAAGGAAACCUAUAGUUGCAGGGCUCAAAACUUCUCAGAUGAUAGGAUAUGGGAAGAAGUCAAUGGGUUUAUUCAGAAGCUCAAGCUACAGAUAGAAAAUGCUAUCCACGAAGAGGUAGAUCAACCUCCUAACUGAUGUCAUUGUCUCCACUGGAGUAAUUGUCCUCAAAUGCAGUAUCAAUCACGCUACUCCCUUGCUCAAGAUAUUCAGUAACCAGACCCACUCUUACUAUGUUGCAGGGCGUAGGGCAAGAGUACAGAUGGAUACCCACAACAUGGCGGUAAAUCUAUACAAACUAUAAAUCAAUAUAACAAACUGAUAAACAGACUAUGUCCCCCUUCUGUGAAAAAUGUGCCUCCAUACUGAAAAAAUUUCAACAUAUAUGUAAAGCUAUCGUUGUUGCAUGAAUGUGGCUAGGGACAAAGUAAAAACAACUAAACUGUAUUAUUGUACAUUUCUGAGUAUUCUUUGUAGAGCCUGAUGAUGUUAGAAUGAAAAGUAAGUCACAAAAAUGUAUUGAUUAUUAUAUAUUCUACAAUACCCAUUUUAGAAAAAUUACUAAUUAUGUUGUAUUGAAGAUUUGUAUAUAAUUAAUGUUCUAGAGAUAAUAAUGACCUAAAGGAUUAAAAGUAUUCAAAGUAUACAAAAGUGGAAUAUAUUUUCAUUGAAGAUGUAAAUUAAAUGUA